GGCAGGAAUAUAUUUGUCAUCCAGGUAAGCUAAUUGAAAACACGAUUAUAUCCCUUUCCCAGAUUUGAUGGCGAACAGAUUAAAUGCAGCUGCCACAAUCCAGUCAGAGCAUGGUGACCAGGAAUUUGGACUACUUCAGGACAAGACUCUGGGUUACUCUAGCAGUGCCUGCUUGGUUUCCUAGAAUAUCUUCUCCAUAAGACAUGAGAUUCAAGCCUGGGAUAUUGUAGUGAAGAAGAGAGAAAGAGAAUGGCAACACCUGAGUUCCAGGAGUCAGCCUGCUAGUAGUAACAGCUAAGUCUUGGUGUUGCUAUGGGGUGGUCUGGCUCUUCAACUAGGCUUUGAUAUUCUUCUAUUGGACAUAAACAAUCUCAGAAAACGUUAAUAUCAGACAAGGCUAUUCUGUCACCAUGAUAGACCAAGACUAAGGCAAGACCACUUCAUAAUAAUUCCUGUACAAAGGCAAAAUAUGAACAUUGUCCACAUCAAAUAAGUGACUAAACAUUUCUUUAAACCAGUUAAUACGAGUGAAUGCUAUUUCCUUAUGAAACAGUGUUAGACUUGCUCUCAUCUAUCUCCCUUCUAGAUUAAACUCAGUCAUAGAAUUGUCUAAACUUUAUGAUAGCAUCCAAUCCAGAGUAAGCCCACUUCUUUCAAUCCUCCCGAAAAUCACUAAAGCAAAGUUCAGAUAGAGUAAGUCAUUUCUAAAACCCAUUUACAGAGAUGCUCCACAAUUCCCCAUGAUGUGCAUUGUCCUUUGCUACGAUGGGAAAUUAACUCAACUUGUUCAAAUACAGGUGUGUUCUUUUUUCUCCUUAGUAGAGGGCAUUGAAUACAAGAGAGAGAGAAGAGAACACAAAGCAGUUUCAGAAAAACACCCAAAAUAAAUCACAAGAAGUAUACCCAAAAUACUUGAAACUUUUCUUGUGUUCCACCAAAAUCUCUAAAUCCCAGAGUAUAUCCUUGAAUUUCAAUUCCAUCAUGUUAGAAUUUAUUUUCAAAGAUGGAGGAUAGAGUAAAUGGUCAAUGCUUCUCUGGUGCAGAGAGGGGUCUUCUUAAAUAUACCCCUAACUUUAUGUCCCAUUGAAAAAAGUAAUAAAAGUAAAUUAAUUAAGAGAAUAUUGACCUCUGAAAAAAUUGCUUGCUCCUUCUUACAGAUAUUUAUGUCAGAGCACAGGGAAUAGUAUUUUAUCACCUUCCUGACUUUUUAUUCCCAUUGCAUAAAUCUGUCAGUGAGCAAGCUCUAUCCCCAGCUGGGCUGGUCUAGCUACAAAAUAAGACAGGCAGAUACCAAUGCAAAACUGUGGUUUAUUUUUGAAAAACUUUUACCUCUGCUUUCAUUUUGGCUUUUAAUAAGUUUGACAAUUCUCAGCAUUUUUUUUUUUUGCUUUUUUGUCCAAAUUUCCUGCCUGAUGGGGAAGUCUGAGGAUGAUUAAUGUUCAAGAAAGUUGUGAGGAAAUGUGCCACCCAAGUUUAAUGCAUUAUUAUUUUACUAAAUCACAAUUUUCUUGGUGUCCAUAUCAGUAGCCUAACCUUAUGCAGUAAUAACUGAUUCAGACUUCAUUUAUAAAACGGAAGGGAAAAAUGCAAGAAUAAAAAGGAAGAGAAUUCACAGCAGAGCAAAGAGAAAUUACUGCCAUAUGAACUCUAACACUGUAGCAUUCUUUCACGGUCUGGUACUUUUUAAUCUUGAGUCAUAGAUGGAAAAAUAAAGGAAAAAAAUUGAGGCACAACCAUUCUACAGUAGGCAAGGCAAUUGAGAUUGCUUGGAUUCAUUACUCUGAACUCCAGCAAACAGCUACAGAAUGCCUAGAAUUCCCCAGACAUGACUAUUACAGCUCUCUGUGGUGGCUCAACAGACUUCGUUUUCAGAUAGGUUAUUUGGAGCACCAAUUUUCUUUCUAAAAAUCUUUGUUUUGGCCUUGAUUUGGAAAUAACCUAUGACCGUAGUAUUUAUUUUUCUGCUUAAGAAUUCAUAGAGAAUUUUGGUUUGGGCAGCAUGACAACUUUUACUUAAUAAAAAUAUGAGAAAAAUAUAUAGUUAUAUAGGCUGAUUCCUUUUCACAAUAACUCUACUGAGCUCAUAUAAUUCAAUCUAGUUUAUUUGUUUUUGUUUUCAUUUUUCUUUAUGUCUCUGACUGAGGCCCAGUGGGCACACUCAAUUUGGAAGGGUUUUAGAAAACAUGGCUGAAAAAUGAUGAAUUACGUAUGUAUUAAAUUGAUGUUCACAAUUUCCUGUAAGUAUAAUCUCUUUUCAUGAAAGUGAUGACUCUUUCAUAAUAGCUGAACUUUAUAAACACACGCACACACAAACUAAAUUAAAUUAAAUUAAAUAUGUCCAGGUAAUAUUUCUAAAUAUAUAUAGAAAGUUAAUCUAAAUUCUAAAUACCUUGUUGAUGUAUGCAGUAUUUUAAAGUCAUUUGGGGGAUAACAAUUCUGGCAUUGUCCUAUAGCAACAAUAAAGAGAGGCAGUUUAAAAACAGCAAUGUAAAGAAGGAUUUCAAGCCAACAUUAAUGGUGUGAUUUAGUCAAGCCCUUUUUAUUGUGGAAUUUUAUAAACCAUUCAAAAUUAUACUUAUAGCUAACAUUUCAAUAUAUUAAAAAUGCUCACAAUAAAAAUUAAUUUCUAAAAAGGCAAAUGAAUGGAGGAUGCAUAUGCAAUAUGUCCUUAACUAUAAAUAUGUUGAAAGAUGAGAGAUCAUGUGGCUGAUAGGCCAGUUGAUACAUAAUAAAAAGAAUAAAUAUAAAGAGACAAAGAGAGAAAAAAAGGAAUAAGAAAGGAAGAACAUAAAGGAAGAAGGAAGAGAGGGAGAGAGGAAGAAAGCAAUAGACGGAGGAAAGGAAAAGGUAGGAGGAAAAAAGACAAAGCUAGCAGGAAACCAAUAUAUAUAUAAUAAAUAUUAAUGUUAAGAAUAUAUUAAUUAAUGGAAGUGUUAAUGAUCUGUGAGUGGUCUGCCCAGAUGUGAUUCUUACUAUACUAUUACAUAGCCCAAAUUUUCUUAAUUGGACAUACAUUUUCUGUAGCCAGAAAAUUAAAAUAUUAAUUUCAGAAAAAAAUUGUUAUUUCUAUCCUCUAAAUGCAUGCCCCAAUGAAUAAUAGUCAAAUAUUAAAAUUACACACACAAAAGUUGUGAAAUAGAAGACUAUAUAUAUUUUUUCAUUAACAUAAACAGAAAAAUUCCUACUAGCUCUUCACAUCAGGAUUUGUAUGACCCAUUAACGUGUUCAAAUGCAACAUUGCUCAUUAAAGGAAGAGUUCUUACAACUCAAUUCAAGGUAAUUAUUAUUUUUAUUUUCUUUGUACUAAUGUCAUUUUGAAUAAAAUAUAUUCAUCAUUAAAACUUUUAUGAGCUCCUACAAGUGCAAAAGAAAAGAAUUUUGAUUGAUGUUUCUGACUGUUGAAUGUUAACCUCUAUCCUAAAGAUUGCUCACACAUAAUGGAAAAGUUAAUUCCCACUACAGUGGUAAUAUUCAUUGUACAGAUGAGGGGACAAACAUUAUGGUAUACACUAACUUCUAGCCUGACAUGGUAUUUCCAUUAAUCUGAAUCUAUCAUUAGUCUUUACUUUGGAACCUAAGCAAAACUGCAUCAACACUUACAGGUGGAUCAUAAAGACAAUUGUGAAAAUCAGUACCUGGAUUUUCAAAAAUGUUUAAUUGAUACUUUCAAUAUUCUUUUUUGAGAUAUUUUUCCUCUUCCAGGCAAUAAGGCCCCAGCAACUGACCUCACAGGAAUAGUCCCUUGCUUCCUAGCUUGGCAGCACCCCACACUGUUGGUCUUGCAACAGGUAUGCAGAUACACACAAAAUGAAAAAAAAGCACAAGACAGAGUGAAUGGAUGUAUUUAGGUCCUGGUUACUUGACUAUAAUUUGUGAGAUAAAGUAUUUCUAAAGAGUAUUUUCCACAAUUCAUCCAAGUCUCUGUUUCAGCAUCCUAAUUCAAUAUUUGUACUUAUUAACCUACAGACUUGGAUAACAAAAAACUCAUUUAAAAAUAGAAAAGUAGCUCAUAAUUUUAAAGAAUAUAGAGAAGGCACAAUGAAAAUGAAAAUAUAUAAUAUCUUCACUAGCCAGGGAUAACUGUUAUUCCUCCAGCCAGAGAUAACUUUUAUUAUAUUUUUAGAUAAUUAUACAUCCUUACAAUUUUCUAUGUCUUAGUUUUAUAUAAAUAUGUGUUUUAUAUCACAAAAGUUUAAAUCUUUAAUAUUUAAAGAGGUUUAAAACACUGGUGUUUUCUGCAAACAAAUUAUGUCAUAAAAUAAUUUUCAUAGUAAAAUGCAUGCUAUUUUAAUUAACUUUGUAAUGUUACCUUAGAUGUAUAAAAAUGUAUUUAAACAAAUCCCUUCUUAUUUAAAUUUAGCUUACUCUUGGAUUUUCCAGUUUAUUUACCACAUACUUAUUAAUAUGUACUAUAGUUAUUUAAUAAUGUAUUUACUAUUAUAAUUAGCAUUGACACUGAGACAUGUUUUUUCACAAAUAUUUAGUGUUUUACAGUUCAAUUUUUAUAACAUAUAAUUAGUGAAUUGUACGAUGUAGAUAUUGAAUUUUUGAAAUUAUUUUGUAUGAAUAGUUUUACAUAUUUAUGAUACUAAUCUCAUGUUUUAAAUUUGUUGCAAAUGGUUUUCCUGAUGUUUGUCUCCUCUUAAAGACUAUGGUCUUUCUUCAUAUAGACUUUAAAAAAAAUGUUAUGUACUCAACUGACUUCUUUAUUAAAUAUAUUGUUUCCUAGCUUAUGAUUAUAUAGAUAUUUACCUAUAUGGACUUCUGAUGAUAUAUAUAUAUAUUUACAUAUUAUGAUAUAUUGAAUAUUUAAUACAGCUGAGUUUUGCUUUGGCAUUAAGUAUAGGAUUAACCUCUAUCCUUUACCCACUAAAAAGAAAUGUUAUCUUUAUAUUAUAUGUUUCAAUAUAAAUUCCUAAAUUUAAACUUAAUGUGAUUAUUCUAUAUAUAUAACUUGACAGUAGUGUCCAUUUAUUUGAUUAAAAUAAAAUUUUAACCUCAUUUAUUACAUAAUAAAUUAAGACUUUCCAUCACAUUUUCUUACACAAAUCUUUAUAUUUCUAGAUAAACUUAAAAAUCAUUAUUUUCCAAUUCUAAAAAUCUAAUAAAAUGUUCAUUAUAAAUCUAACAAAUAGGCUAACAUUAGAAGUAAUGCAUCUUUGAAAAUAUUAAUGCAAGCUAUCCCAUUGCAUGUAUUUAAAUUAUCUUGUUUAAUAGUUAGAUUCCUGUUCUCUUUACAUAGAGCAUAUUUAGAUGUGAUUAAGUUUCGUAUGAUUUUGAGCAACGUUUUCUAAAGAGAUUUUUUCAUCAUCUUAUAUAUGUCUUGUUUUGGAAAGUUGCAUUAAAUUUGCAACUGGCUAAUUUAUUUUCUUUUUUGAGCUGAUUAGGCAAUUGUAUUAACAUUGAAAUGUUUUUCCUGUUUUUGAUUUUUUAAAUUAUUUUGUUUUCUUGUGUUAUUGAUUUAGAAUGAGAGCUCACGUCUUGUCUUGUUCUUGAUUUUUAAUACAAAUGAUUUGAUCAAUGGAAGAUAUAAACAUUAACCAUGACUACUGCUUUUGGCUUGAUAUAAGUUUUAUUUUAUUAUGUUGGAGAAAUAGUCUGUUCUGGUUUUAUUGUUUUGCCAGGAAUGAAUGUAGAAUUUGAUCAAAUCUAUCUUUAGCUUAUUUCAAUAUAAUUUGCAGCUAAUGAAUUCUCUAAUUGGAUCAUCCUUGAAUUUUAGGGAUAAAUACUAGUUCUUCCUGUUAUAUUUAUUUUUUUGCAUGCUACUUAAUUUAAUUCAAAAUAUACAGAGUUAAUAUGCUUUUAUUUUAAUGCCAUCCUCUGCAAGUUAGUAAGAAAUAUGCUGAGUUCAAAAAUGCAAUGGCAAAUCCUUUUGGCUGAUCCAUGUGCUGAAGCAAUUCUAAUCAUGUAAACUUAAUCUACUGCCUAAAAAUUCUACAGAAAUCUCUUAUAAAACAGUUUUAACUCAGUAUCAUUAUAGGUGUAUUGGAAGAUGGUUUGCUGUUGUGUUGGUUGUUUUUCUCAUAUAGUUAGUGAAAUACUUAAAUUGUAUUUCUCUAAUUAAUUCGGCUUUGAUCAAUUGUAUUUUCUCACAAUAUCGUAUAAUUUCCUAUGAGUUUUAAUAUGUAUUAUUAUUUGAUAUAAUCUCCUAUUGUUUGUAAAAUAUAUUUGAUCUAUACAGUUAUAUCAUAUUAAUAAUUCACACUGGCAAUUGUUUGUGAUUAUAUUUUAAUUUAUUCUUGAUUACUUUGUAAGAAAUAUCUCUAAUAUUUUCAGUGUUUAAAAGACUUGCUUUCCAGAUUUGUCAUUUGUCAUUUCUUUUUCCUAAAUUGCUCAUGUUGUCUUUAUUGUUGCAAUUAUUCUAUAUUAUUUUUGUUUUUUUGCUAUGCAUUCUCUUGUUUACUUAGUUGGAUGUUGGAUUUGAAGAAUUUAUUCUCUUUUGAUAUUAAAAAAUUUAGGAUUAUGAUUUUCUUUACAGGUAUAUUUUUGCCACAUCCCAUAAUUUUGUUUGCACUGCUAUUUUUUUACUUGAUUUUAUUUUUGACUCAUGACUUGCCUUUUUUAUCCUUUUUCUUUUAUUUAAAAAAUUUGGUUUGUUUCUAUUGCUUUCCUUUUAUAUUCAUCAUUGUUCUUUUUUUAACUUUUAUUUUAAGUUCAGGGGCACAUGUGCAGGUUUAUUACAUAUGUAAACUUGUGUCAUGGGGGUUGUACAGAUUAUUUCAUCACCCAGAUAUUAAGUUUAGUACACAGUAGUUGUUUUUCCUGAUCCUCUCUUUCCUCCCAGUCUUUCCCUCCAAAGGUCCCAGUUUGUUUUUCCCCUCUAUGUGUCCAUGUGUUCUCAUUAUUUAGCUCCCACCUAUAAGUGAGAACAUCCGGUAUCUAGUUUUCUGUUCCUGUGUUAGUUUGCUAAGGAUAAUGGCCUCCAUGUGAAAAAAAAAUGUCAACAUCACUAUUAGAGAAAUGCAAAUCAAAACUACAGUGAGAUACCAUCUCACACCAGUCAGAAUGGCUAUUAUUAUAAAGUCAAUAAAUAACAGAUGCUGGCAAGGUUGUAGAGGAAAAGGAAUAUGUGUACACUGUUGGUGGGAGUGUAAAUGAGUUCAAUCAUUGUGGAAGACAGUGUGGCGAUUCCUUAAAGACCUAAAGACAGAAAUACCAUUGGACCCAGCAAUCCCACUACUUGGAAUAUACCCAAAGGAAUAUAAAUCAUUCUAUUAUAAAGACACAUGCAUGUUCAUUGCAACAUUAUUCACAAUAGCAAAAGAUGUGGAAUCAACCUACAAACCCAUCAAUGAUAGACUGGAUAAACAAAAUGUGGUACAUAUACACCAUGGAAUACUAUGCAGCCAUGAAAAAGAGUGAGAUCAUGUCCUUUUCAGAGACAUGGAUAGAGCUGGAGGCCAUUGUUCUUUUUUAUGUCAUGAUAUUUUGUUGUCUUAAUAGUAUUACUGAAAACUGUGAGCUCUUGAAUUAAUUUGUGGGAAAUGAAUCACAUGUUAAGUACUCAAGUAUAUCUGAAAUCUAUUUAUUAAUGUUACUAUCAUUUAGAUUAUUUACUACUACUCAAUGUGAAGAAAAUGAGGAUAAAGACCUUUAUGAUGAUGCAUUUCCACUUAAUGAAUAGUACAUUUAUUUUCUCUCCUUUAUGAUUUUUCUUGAUAUAAUUUUUCUAGCUUACUUUAUUGUAGGAAUAUAGUAUAUAAUAAAUAUAAUAUACAAAGUAUGUUUUAUUCAAUGGUUUAUGUUAUUGUUAAGGCCUCCAGUCAACAGUAGGCUGUUACUAGUUAAGUUUUGGGGGAGUCAAAAGUUACUGUUGAAUUUUUAACUGUGCAAGAAAGACAUGAGUACCCCUAAACUCCAUGUCAAUUAAGGGUCCACUGUGUCCAUAAUACUUUAUACUCUUCUUUAAAAUACAGUGGUUCUUUUUGGCUCAGUUAACAUCUUUUGCUUUAAAUUCUAUGUUUCUGAUGCCAAUUUUUCCUUUACCUCAUUUUUAUUUUCAGUUGAUUGGCAUAUCUUUGAUAUAAUUUUAGUACGUUCUUUUCCAAAAUACUUUUUUUUUUUUUGUUUGAGACAGAGUCUCACUCUGUAGCCCAGACUGGAGUCCAGUGGCCUGAUCUCGGCUCACUGCAACCUCCGUCUUCCAGGCUCAAGCGACUCUUGUGCCUCAGCCUUCUGAAGAGCUGAGAUUACAGGCACACACCAACACACCUGGCUUUUUUUAUCUACAACUUUUCAGUUGGUUGGGCAGGAUGGCAUAUACCUGUAGUCCCAGCUACUUGGGAGGCUGAGGCAGGAGGAACACUUGAGCCCAGGAACCUGAGUUAGAGUGAGCUAUGAUCAUACCACUAUACUCCAGCCUGAGUGACAGAGUGAUACCCAAUCUCAAACAAACACAAACCACAAAAUGUGCAAUACCAGGAGUGAACCCUAAUGUAAACUGUGGACUUGGUUGAUAAUGAUGUGACAAUGAUGGCUUAUCAAUUGGUAACAGAUAUACCACACUGGUACAUUGAUGUUGCCAAAGCCUGUAUAUGCAGGCAUGGAAAGGGUACGUGGGAAUUCUGUAUUUCCUACUCAAUUUUGCUAUGACCUUGAAUUUUUAUAAAAAAUAAAUACUUGACAAUACUAACAAAAAGAAAAGAAUAUUUAUUAAGCCAAAAACAAUGGAAAACCAAAGCUAACAAAGUCCAUGUUAAGGAAAAAACAAUAUAGAAGAAAUAAAUUAAGGACAAUUAUUAAUACAUCAUUUAUGAAUAGGCUGAAUAUUCCAAGACAAUGACUGCAUUAGUGGUUAGGAAUUAAUUCCAACUAUAUGUCUUUAUAAGAAAAAACAACAAAAAUCUAAAAGAAAGAGGUAAAAAUGGUCAAAGUAAUGAAUAGAGAUUUCAGAAACUGGGGAAAAAACAUAAAUGGCAAUAUUAAUAGCAGAAAAAGUGACAUUUAAGGUCAAAAGCAUUAAGUGGGAAAGUGGGACCCAGAUUGACACUAUGUAAUAAAAAAAGGUAUAAUUUAGAAAAAAGAUGUAAGAGUCAUAAAUCAUUUUAUAUAGAACAACAGCAGUGGCACAUAAAAAAGAAAUAUUCCUAGAAAUACACUGAAGACCUGACAAAAACAUAAUUAUAACUGGUGACUUUUAAAUAUGUCUUUCAGAACUUGACAUAGUUAAAAUAGAAGUAAAAAUAGUGAGUAUAUCAAUGAAAAAAUCAACCUUAGCCCUUUGGAGCCCAUUUCUUUUGAAUAUACCAAAUGUGACCCUUUCCUGGAGCUUUUGGCAACCAAUUCCCUCAUUGCUCUCCCUAAUUUACCAAUUUUUUAAUAUGUAGAUCACUCUGAUUUUCCUUAUUAUAAAUUUUAUCAUUAAUAAUGUUUAUAUCUAUUAUGAUUCAUACUGUGUAUCCUGAAUAUCUGAGAUAGGUCUCAGUUAAUUUAGAAAGUUUAUUUUGCCAAGGUCAAGGAUGCAUACCCAUGACAAAGUCUCAGAAGGUUCUGAUGAUAUGCCCCAGGUGGUCAGAGCACAACCCAAGGAAAACCAAACAUCGUUUCAUAUUUGAAAAUGUUUCCUAUAUAAUUUUAUACCAAAUAAGCCAAAUUAUGUCAUUUUUGUACUUUAGGGAACCUAAUAUCUUAAAGAAUUAAUUAGGUAAGAAAAAUACAUAAUUUAUAAUUUAAUUUUGGAAAGUUUGUCAAAUAUCAGAGGUUUAAAACACUUGAUAUCACAGGUCAUUGUCAAAUAAGUCAUUCCUUUGACCAUAGUGAUAACUGAGGAUUUCCAAAAAAAAAAAAAAAAAAAGGCCUUCAUUCUUUGAGAGAGGAGACUUAAUUUUCCAAACAGUAAGCCUUGAAAAAAGAAGCCAAGUAAAUUUGUUUUUCAAAAUUGUAUAAAAAAUCUAUAAAAUUUUCAUCUUGACCAUAAUAUAUAAGUUUCAUAAGCCUUUUAUAACCUUUAUAACCUUUAUUAAGGAGUCAGUUAGUGCUUCAAGAAAACCUUGUUAAUCUGACACAGGGGCCCAUAUGCUGGUCUUGCAUGAGUAUGCCUUUGACAUAAUGAUUAAUUUAUAGGGAAAUUGAACUUAUUAUAUCUCUCAAAAUUCACUGUCACAAUCUCACACACCCACCUCUUCCAUGAUAGUCUCUGGAUCUUGAGGAAUUGCAUAGCUUUAAUUUCUGGCCCUGUAUCUUAAGAAUGCAGUUUACUCUGAUUGGUGUCUUCCACUGGACCUGAUGAUAAGUGUUUAAUUGUUGUCAGUGUUUAAGAUUUAGCAGAAUUUGGUGCCCUUUUUAAGAUCCAAGAGUCAAAGCCCCAUAAGUCAAUGUCACAAGUACUUUAAAAGCACAUACAGAAUGAUACACGAAUGUGAUAACCUUAAUUUAAGAAUUUUUUUAAUCUUAGUUUUUUUCCUAAGGGAACCAAAACAUAAUAAUAAUGGAAUAGGAAUUGUUUUGAUAUAUCUUAUAAUCUGUUAGGCCAGUUGCCAAAAGGCAAAAGAAAAGACCUUCUGCAAUGCACAGACUAUUAGGUUGGAAGAAAAAAUUUCCUUUAAUCCUUUAAGAAACCAUCAUUAGCAUUAGGCCACAAUGAGCAGAACUCAAGGAAAAAAACUUAUAUGAGCUGAAAAUUAGUUGAAGGACAGCGUUGCUAUUUCACACCCUUUAAAAUGAGAGAGAAAACCAAAAAUGGUGAGAUGAAAGAAAAGUUAAACUUUGAGUUUAAAAAAUUAAAAUCUUUCAUAAUUUAUUAAGAACAAAUCAAUCUCUUAAGAAAUUUUUUUGUUCUAACCAACUAUUUAGUAAUAAGUGUUUUUUUUACAUUCACCUCAAUCUCUAGAAAGAUCAUUAUAAUUUUCCUUUAAUUAUCAACAACUUGAUUAUAUGAAAGUUUUAUUUUUUUAAUAAAGCCUCUUAUUGUUACACAGACCAUUCAUGAUACACUUGGACUUCCUGGUUUGUCCUGAACAUUCUUCUUUCUUAAACAACCAGUCAUUUUAUUACAAGACUAAAUUUACCAUAAAAGAUUCUUUCUCAUAAAAAAUUAUUUCUCUUUAAGCUUACUUACCAAAAAAAUCCUCUUUAUUCAUAUAACUUUCUUUACUUCUUUCUUAUUUCCUGUUUCCUUUUACCUUGUUUUAAACAUAACCUUUAAAUAAGCCUUGAAUUAAACAAAAACACACAUUUUCUGACAAAUAGAUUUUAUUAAAAAAUACUCAAAUAGUGAAAUAUCUACUAUUUAAUUUAAUAUAACUUUAGUUUCUAAAUCAUGAAUUUGUCUAUAAGUAUUUAUCUCAUUACAUUUACAUAAUUUUUUAUUGUAAUUUUUUACAUAGAUUAUUUAUAAAAAAUUAGAGUCAGCAUCUAAAGUUAUGAAACUGCUAUUGCAAAAUUAUAAGCGACAGUAAAAAAGAUCUGACUUAACUGACUUCAUCUUGAAUUUAACCUCCAAGCUGACCUUGUUCAUUCCUGGCAUAGGCCAAACUAACUUUGGGAGGAACUUGGUUUAUAGUUUAGAUUUGAACAAAGAUAAUAGCAGCCCUUUCCCACAGCAAAUCUUACUGCCUGUGGACUAGACUGCCUAAAGCCACAUUAGAAGUUAUGGUAAUUUUACUAAAUUUAAGAUGUAGCUAUUUUCAUUAAACCAAUAUCAAGAUCUUACUAAUUAAAAAUUACACAAGCAAACAUCAUUCUGUUUUGGGCUUGGUUUAUAGUUUUGCAACCCCUAUGCCAAAUUUUGAUGCCAACAAAAAUGUAUACUGGCAAUUCUGAAGAUGUUUCUAAUAUUAUUAUACUUCACCAAUAAUUUUAAAGUUAGCUUAUCUAUUAAAGAUUUCACUUAAGUUAUGUACACUUGAAAAAGCAUUUGACUAGUCUUUUCUUUUUUUUCUGAUAAAGUAUUUGAUUCAAGCACUUUUAUUUUAUUAAGUUGAUUAAUUAGAAUUACUUUAUAUAUUUUUAUUAAUGAAACAUUGUGUGCAUAACACAUAAAUACAUAGAUAUAUUUGGCAUGCUGGUAAAAGUACAUCUUAUAAAUUCAUAAAAACCUUCUUUUUUCCAUCUUAGGCUUCAAAUUCUUCAUAACGUGUUUCAAUAGGUAACCUGUAUCAAUUCUUGGUAACCCUAGGCAGUUGUCAGCCAAAUAGCCUUAAAUUUGCAUGCUAAAAGAAAGAACUCAGGUGAAAAUCAAAUAGCAAAAUUUACAUCAUAAGAUAUGGUGAGAGAAAGUCUGGUGUGCUGAAGAGAAAUUAAAACUGACUUAAUUGCCAAUUAAACAUGAAAUUAUAGAAAUUAUAAAGGCCUUCUAAAUAAACACACACACACACACACACACACACACACACACACAAAGAUUCUAUAGCUCUUACUUUAGAGAUGUAGGCAUGAGAUAAAUACAAAUUCACCAGCUUGCAAAUAAAUAACCUGUUGGAUACAAACAGUGGUUUUUAUCUUAAUAGAAAAAUAACAGCAGAUUUAAAGCAGGCAGAAAAGAAAAUAGAGCAAAAAGAGAACUUAGAAACUCUAUCAUUUGCAGAGUGACCUUAGGGUUCUUUUUUCUUAAUGUAACUGUGCAUAAAGACCAUAUUAUUUCCAUUUCACAUAAACUCUGGCAAGUAGAGGUGCCAUAAAACCUACAGAGUGCUUGCAAGGGGGUCACUCUUCUUUUUUUCUCCUCAUUCAUAGAUUAUUUGUUUCCCACUUUUUUUUUUCUUAAAAGGAGGAAUUGAGCUGUGGCCUAGGGUGUUUGUGUGGUGGACUGAUGUGUGCUGCUUGUGAGCAGGACUCCACAGUGUAUCACCACUACGUCAUUUCCAUCCUCUUAGGUGUCUCAAUUUCUCUCUCCAGAGGUCUAUGACCUCUGAGAGGGCUCAAAACACUGAGUGAUCAGCCCUUACAUGCGUUUCCUGGACGAUCCUGUUUUUAAAAAGUUAAUUUUUGUUGGGAAUUUCCCUGCAGGACCACUGGAUGUUGAGUGGGGUCAGGCCCCCUGGACCCUCCCAUGAGGCCCUCAGUCACCCAGGGGUGCCUUUUUGGCAGGGAGGAGCAAAACGUCCUUUUUUUCAAAGCUGAGGAAACUCAGCCUCUCAUUUACCUAUGAAAACAAGAGUUUGGUUCCUCAUGCAAAUGUGCACAGACAAGCCAAAUUUUGGGAGAAAAAGCAAGCAGAGAAGACCCUUCAGAAUGCAUCUUCGAACUAGAAUUAGGAUCCUUAAACAACAACUUUCCAGGAGGAAAAGAAACAGCAGGCAAGACCACUAUCUAUAAACUGUUCUCAGCCACCCCUACUUUAUAGCUCUUGUCAGCCACUACACACACCAAAGUCAAAUUCUCUCACAGUACAAGGUAGUCUUUGGUAUCCCCAAAGCCAAAGAGGUCAGAUCAUGCAAUACAGAAAAACAGCUUUACAUCUAAGCAGAAUCUACCCAUGACUUCUGAAACUCCAGAAAGAAAACAGAACACCUCCAAAGGGGUGAGUGGCACCUUUGUUCUGAAUUCCUUAAAGGGGUGCAAGUCAUUAGAAGCCUUCUCUAGAUUUUUGGUACUACAGAUGGCAAGAGGGGGAAGGAGGUGGAAGAAAAGUAAAUGAAAAAACUUUUUUUUUUUUUUAAGACAGAAAGCAAACACAGAAACAAACUGGAUUUUUGAGGGGUUUUGGUUGUUUUUUGUUUUUUUUUUUCCUCUUUUGGAGCUGUGAGGAAUUUUAGCAAAAUUAGAGAGGCUUUGUUAUUCAUAAUUCUGAGUUCUCUCUCAGAUUUGACCAAGUCAGGAAGAGUUGGUCAAAUCUGAAGAGAGAAAGACCAGAACAAACAACAACAAAAAACCAACAAUAUAAUCACUGAGCACUCUAAUGGUGAGGAGAAAUUAAGACCAGCUGGUUGUUAACUUUAGCCAAGACAAAACCCCAAUUCACCUGCUUACCAAGGGAUAGGUCUCAGGCUGAAGAUUAUCCUUUACCAUCCUGGAAAGAGGAAAAAUAACUCAAACUUAUCCUCCCCUCUGGGAGCAAACUCAAACUCCAGUUACUUGCCAGAUUACCAUAGAAACAGGAAAUCUUAUCUUCCUUGUUGGAAGCAAGUAAAACUUUAAAAAUAAAGAGAGUUGUACAGCAAAAUAAACUUUAUUUUGGGAGAUCAGGGAGUCUCUGGAAGGGUGCUCCCAGACCUUAGCAAAUUGUCCUAUUUGUUUGAGCCAUAAAGUUAGCUCGUGCUGGUACCCAGCACUGAUAGGAAAUUUGUCAAAGGUCAGAGGUACAUCCACUCAGAAUCUCCUUGUUGUUACCAAAAUGUGAACCUUCAGUGUCUGAGGCAGGUCUCAGUUAACUGAGAAAGUUUAUUUAGCUUGAGGAUGGGCACCCAAGACACAGCCUCAGAAUGUUCUGACUACAUGUGUCCCAGGUGGUCAGAGCACAGUUUAGUUUUAUACAUUUUAUGGAUACAUGAGAUAUCAAUCAACAUAUGUAAGAUGAACAUUAUUUUGGUCCAGAAACGUGGGACAACUUGAAGCAGAAAGGAGCUUCCAGGUUAUAGGAAGAUAAGAGACAAAUGGUUGCAUUCCUUUGGGUUUCUGAUUAGCCUCCCCAAAGGCGACAAUCAGAUAUGCAUUUACCUCAGUGAGCAUAGAGGUGACUUUGAAUAGAAUCGGAGGCAGGUUUGCCCUGAGAUGUUCCCAGGUUGACUUUUCCAUUUAUCUUAGUGAUUUGGGAGCCCCAAGAUAUUUUUUCUUUCACAAUAUAGUCUAAAAUUCUGAUUUUGUUGAUCAUUCUGUAUUCAUAGAUAAUGCCCUCCACUUCAUCUUGUGUGUCUAUUCCUGUACAUACUGUACCUCAUCAUCACCAGAAAUUUUACUGCCCUCAUUAUCUGGAUUUGGAGUAUCCCACUCUCUAACAACACCUCUACUUUCUUUUCAGUUUUUUUUUUUUCCUAGCAUACCAACUAUGAAACUCCUUUACACUGUGAAGGUUCUCGAAUCCAGUAAUAUCAAAACUUUUUCUUGUUCAUCAUUUAUUUCCUAAUCUUCUAUUCAUGCAAGUUAGAAUGCUUGAAGGAAAUUAUAGUCACUCUCCUGCAUAUAAUCUCAAAUUUUUCCACCUGCAGUCUUACUUACUUGGGAAAAUUUCACUAUUUGUAAUAAAACUCAUAACUUUCACCCCUGCCUACCAACCCCUAAAGCAGCUAAACAGGAAUGCAGAAAACAAAUAUCUUAUAAUGGUACUAUGCCUGUGAAUUGUUCUAAUUAUUUUAUAUAUGUGAAUUCAUUUAGUCCUAUCAACUAACCUAUAAAAUAUUUAUAAUUAUUAUCCAGAUCCAUCUCAAUUAAGAAUGUAAAUGCAAAUGUACAAAAUAAAAUACUUGCACUAACAAGGGUAUCAAAUACAUUUUUUGUAAGUGGAGUACUUAUUUCAGAGGAGGAAACAUUGGUUUCCACCUCACUUCAAGUUUCUUUGGUUGGACUAUAAAUUAAAUUAACAUAAACAGAUUAACAAGAGAAAAACCAUAUUUAAUUGCAUGGGGUUCCACAAAAUAUGAGACUUAAAGAAAGGUCAGAUGAUUGAAGCUGAUACAGCAUCUUGAGCUACAGAGGGGAAUAGUGACUUAGGGCUUUUGUUGGGUGAUGGAAACAAGUUUUUGGAGGGUGAUGGAAGAAAAGAAAGAAAGAAAAGAAAAAAAAGAAGAAGAAAAGAAAAAAAAGAAAUGUAUGGAGAAUAAAUGUUGUUUUGUUAUGCAGGUAAAAAGUAUGUCAGGCAAUAAAAGUUCACUGGUAGCAGCCCUAUUCCUGAGACAAACAUUUUACUAAUGUAGAUUAUCUUCACAGAUAUAUAAAUUUCUGUUUCAAAAGGGCAAUUUUGAGAGAUACUCCUGUGUCUUCAGUUUCUAAGACUAAUUGGAUCAAAAUAUAUCAAGUAAGUAUAUUUUGGAGUAGCAGAGCUGGUCUGCUACAAUCAUACCAAAGUAUGUGUAUUGAGGGUGAUGUGUACUGAGCCUCAACAUUGUCAUGCGCUUUAAUAAUAAUGACGGUGUGAUUAUAUAUGGAUACUAUUUUGCAUAUUAAUUUAUAACAAUACUUUAUGAUGGAUAUGAUUUAUAUCCUAGUCAAUUGCUAUUAAUAUACCUUAUGAAAAAUAGCAUUUAUUUCAGGAAUGCAAGGUAGUAACAUCAGGUAAUGUAGCAAUAUAAUGAAUUACAGCAACAAAAAGAAGAGAAGGUAUUUACUUUUGUAACAUAUGCUUAAAAAGUCACCUGAAAAAAAACUCAGUCCUUAUUACACUGAGAUAGGUAUAACUCAUUCUUAUCUAUAACUUCAUAAAGUUUUACAUGAUAAAUCCAGUAGAUUUUCUCCUAAUCUUACUUACAAAAUAAAAAUUUACAUAAAAUAGGAUUAGAAGCAAACUGUAUUAAUGUGUCUAAAUAUUUAAUAAAAACCCAAAUAUAAAGGCCAUUUUAAUGUAAAAAAUCCCAAAGGUAUUAUAUAAAAUUCCAGAAGCAAAAAAAGAUACUUUUUAUCAUCAUUAUAUUUCAACACUGUUUGGCAGUUUUUAGGUAAAAAAAUUGAACAAGAAAAUAAAAUAAUUAUCAAAUAUAUCAUAAAAGAGGAAUAAUAACUCUUCAUACUUGGAGAUAAUAUGAUAAAGAUAAUCUACCCUUCUAUAAUUAAUAGGCUGAUUUGGUAAGGUAACUAUAGGAAUUUUUUUAUACUAAUCAUAAUGAGUUAAAAAUAAAAUUGGUAAAAAAAUCUCAUUCACAAUAGUGCCCCAAACUAUAAACCACUUAGAUGCCAUUAACAAUAAUAGUAUUUUUAUGAAAAAUAGUAUAAAAUAUUAUUAUGUGACACAAAAUAAGAUCAAAACCAAUGAAAAGUGUUAGCAUAAUCAUCUGUAUCAAAGUCAUUAGAUAAAUUUUCACAUAUAUUAUGCAGCUAUUAAAUACUAUGGGUUAGUUCUAUAUUAAUUACCUUGUAGUAAUUUUUAAAUGUAAUUUAUGUGAGGAAAACAAGUUGAAGAAAUAUUAUCUCUUUAAAAGUCAACUAUGUAAGAUGACAUUAAUAUUUAAAAGCAGAUGCUGACCAUUUUAAUGAAUAAAUCAAUGAAUAUGGUAUCCUUAAGAUAUUAGGAAUUUGCACAAGAAUUUAUUUAUAAAAGAAUGAUAAAUGUAUAGACUACCAGCUAUUAAUCUUGGAGACUGCUUAUUCUAAGAAGGAGAAGAUAGAAAGGAAAGAAUAUCAUAGAAAAAAAUGUAUUGUUCACUAGGAAAGUUUUUGUGGAACAUGUUUUUAGGUUUUCCUGAAAUUUUAAUUUUGAUUUUCUUUGUUUUCCCAUUUCCAUUAGCCUUUAAUCAGCCUGCUCACUUUUGGAUAAAAUACUGCUCCAUUUUGGACUGAUUGCUUUCUAUAAGGAAUAAUAUCAUCACUGAAAAUAAUUCUCAAUUUCCCUGACUCAGUUUUUCAAAGUUCAAGUUUUACUUGCAUGCAGUUUUCUCCAUCAAUUGCACAGAAACAAUCACCUCUAUUGCGAGUACUAUAGCAAUUCCUGUUACAAUCUGCUAUUUUAUGAAUGUAUGAAAUACUAAAGAAAGCUAAAAUUAUUACUGGUCUUUUUGAGAAUAAAUUCCACAAAAUAUUUUUUGUCUAUAAUUAUCCUUCAAUAAAGCAAAGCUUUAAAAUGAACAGAAACCAAAAAAUGCAAUAUAUCACGUUCCUGCAGCCAGGGGUGGUGUUUUACUUUUUUCUGUCUUCUGGAGUUGAAGUUCAUUAAUACUAAAAUAAAUUUUAACAUUCAGUGACGUUAUACUAUAUCUAUUAUUCCAGCUGUAUAAUAGGAACUCUCUUAAUUACUUUUGUUGAGUUGCCAGGGAUUUCCAAUUUCCUCUAUCUAGCCAUCAGCUUUAGGAAGUUGGAAAUUAAUCCCAGUAAUGUACCUCACCCAACUUUUACUGUUAUUUUUUGGAAUUUUCUCCAAUACCACAUUGUUUCAGGUAGUUAGGCAUGAGCAGGGCAGGGGAGGGCUUUCCCAGUCCCACUGGAAAUGUCAGGUGAUGGUUUGGCAAUUAUCAGUUUGCCUCUCUAAAAAUAAUAAUUCAACAGCCAAGAAGAGACAAUCUCCUGAUGAUCCACACUUGUUAACAUUAAACGUGUUAAUUGAAUGCAGACCCCAGGGAGAAGAGGCCUCUUGGGCAUGUGUGUUAAGGGACAAAACAGUGAAAUGUGACAGUCAGGGGGCACAUACCACCAGAAAAAAGGAAAAAUAAAAACCUCAGAUGUGCAUGCGUAUUACUCCCUAAUCACACUGUGUGUGCUCAAUUACAAAGGUUAAGGAAAUCACUGCAUAUGCAAGAAGCCCACCCUAAGGGAAGAAUCAUGGGAAAGAGGUGAGCCUGUAAAGUCUAAGGAUCAAGGUUAAAGGGCUUCUUCCUCUUUCCUUUUUGACCUUCAGGUGCCCACUAGAAUCUCUUCCAAGGGUUUCCCUUCCUUCCUGUUCUAAAGCCUUUUAAAUAAACUUUCAUUCCUGCUCUAAAAUUUGCCUCAGUCUCUUUUUCUGCUUUAUGCCCCUCAGUCACAUUCUUUCUUCUGAGGAGGCAAGGACUAAAGUUGCUAUAAACCUGUAUGGCUAUGCCACCCUUAAUUCAGGGUAACUCAGAGCUCUUCUACUGCUAACAAUGUCAGGUUGGGAACUAAAGAAACUAGGAACAUGCAUUCAUAUAUCUUUCUUUAUUUCUCAAUUAUAUCAAAAUUCAAGUAUCUCUUCUUUUCCCUCUAGAUUUUCCCUUAUUUUCUGAUCUGCAAUUUUUGCUCUAAUAGCAAGAUUUUAUUACCAAUUACUUUUUUAUUGUAUUAUUAAUUUUUUUUCCACUUUUCCUGAAGCAUAAUUGACAAACACAUUUUAUAUAUAUUUCAGGUGCACAAUUUAAAAUUUUGGUAUGGAUGUGCAUUGUGAGAUGUUCAUCAAAAUCAAAUUAAUUAACAUAUCCAUCAGGUACCUUUUUUGCAUGUGUGGUGAAAACAUUUAAAAUCUAUUCUUUUAGCAAAUUUCAAGUAUAAAAGACAGUAUUAUUUACUUAUUUCAAGUAAAAGAUGGUACUAUUAACUAUAGUCAUCAUAUUGUAUAUUAGAUCUAUAAAAUUUUUUCAUCUUUCAAACUGAAACUUCGUACACUUUCACUAACAUAUCCCAAUAUUUUCCACCCCCUGUACCCUAGUAACCACCAUUCUACUCUCUACUUCUAUGACUUAAACUUUUUAAGAUUCCCCAUACAGGAGAGAAAAUGCAGUAAUUUUCUUUCUGUGUCUGGUUUAUUUCACUUAGCAUAAAAUCCUAAGGGUUUAUUUAUGUUGUCACAUAAUGACAAGAUCUUAUUUUUAUAAAACAGAGAAAUAUUCUGCUUUAUAUAUACAUAUAUAUAUACACACACACACACAAAGGCAUACCUAUUUUUUGUGCUUUGCUUUCUUGCACUUUGCAGAUAUUGUUUCUACAAACCGAAGUUUUGUGGCAACUUUGUGUUUAAUAUCUAUGAGCAUUGGUGAUCUGUGAUCAGUGAUCAUUGACAUCGCUAUUGUAAACCACAACCAUAUACGACAGCAAACUUAAACGUGUGUGUUGUGACUGCUUCACCAAUGACAAUUUCUCCAUUUCUCUUCCUGUUGUCAGGCCUCCCUAUUCCCCAAGACACAACAAUGUUAAAAUUAGGUCAAUUCAUAUCUCUACAAUAGCCUCUAAUUAUUAAAAUUAAAGAAAGAAUUGCAUAUCUUUCAAAAUCAAAAGCUAAAAUAAUUGAGCUUACUGAGGAAGGUAUGUAAAACACCAAAACGACCAAAAGCAAGGACUUCUGCACAGAACAAGUUAGCAAGGUUGUAAAUGCAAAGAAAAGUCUUUGAAAAAAUUAAAAUUGCUAGUGAACAUACAAUUGAUAAGAAAGGAAAACAGCCUUAUUUCUGAUAUAGAGAAAGUUUUAGGGUCUAGAUAAAUGAUCAAAGAAGACACAACAUUCCCUUAAGCCAAAACCGAAUUCAUAAGAAGGCCUUAACUCCAAUUCUACAAAGCUUGAGAGAGAUGAAGAAGCUGAUGAAGAAAAGUUGGAAGCUAGUAGAGAUUGUCUCAUGAGGUUUAAAGAAAGAAGCUAUCUCCAUAACAUUAAAGUGCAAGGUGAAGCAGCAAGUGCUAACACAGAAGCUGCAACAAGUUGUCCAGAAUGUCUAGCUAAGUGAUGAAGGUGGCUAUAUAAAACAACAGAUUUUUAAUGUAGACAAAGGAGCCUUCUACUGGAAGGAGAUGCUAUCUAGGACUUUUGUAGCUAAAGAAGAGAUGUCAAUGGGCCUGACUUCAAAGCUUCAAAGGACAAGCCACCUCUCUUUUAGUGGCUGAUGCAGCUCUUUACAUUAUGUUGAAGCCAAUGCUUAUUUACCAUUCUGAAUAUAUUAAGGCCCUUAGAAAUCAUGCUAAAUCUAUGCUGCCUGUGCUCUACAAUAGAACAACAAGCCUGAAUGACAGCAAAUCUCUUUAUAGAAUGGUUUUCUAUAUUUUUAAGCCCACUGUUGAGACCUACUUCUCAGAAAAAAAAAAAAGGUUUCUUUCAAAAUAUUACUGCUCAUUGACCAAUGUACUUAGUCACCCAAGAGCUCUGAUGGAGUUAUACAAGGAAAUUAACGUUAUUUUUAUACCUGCUAACACAAUCUGCAUUCUGCAGCCCAUGGAUCAAGAAGUAUUUUUUUUCUUUCAAGUCUUAUUAUUAAAGAAAUAAAUUUUGAAAGGCUAUAGCUGCUAUAGAUAUUGAUUCCUCUCAUGCAUUUGGACAAGUAAAUUGAAAAACUUCUGAAGAUGAUUCUAGAUUCCACAAAGAAUAUUCAUAAAGAAUAUUCAUGAUUCAUUGGAGGACGCCAAAAUGUCAACAUUAGCGGAAGUGUGGAAGAAGUUGAUUCCAACACUCAUGGAUGACAUUGUGGGGGGAAGUAACUGCACACAUGGUGAAAAUAGCAAGAGAACUAGAAUUAGAAGUGGAGUCUGAAGAUGUGAGUGAAUUGCUACAAUGUCAUUCUAAAACAUGAAUGGAUGAGAAGUUGCUUCUUAUGGGUGAGCAAAGAUAUUGGUUUAUUGAGACAGAUUCUCUCCUCGUGGAGAUUCUGUGAACAUUGUUGAAAUAAAUCAAAAGAUUUAGAAUCUUACAUAGACUUAGUUGACAAAGAAGUGCAGGGUUUCAUAAGAUAUACUCCAAUUUUCAAAGAAGUUCUACUGUGGGUGAUAUGCUAUCAAACAGCAUCACAUGUUACAGAGAAAUCUUUUGUGAAAGGAAGAGUCAAUUGAUGUGGCAAAUUUCACUUUUGUCUUCUUUUAAGAAAUUGCCAUAGUGACCCCAACCUUCAGCAAUCACAAUCCUGAUUAGUCAGCAGCCAUCAACAUCAAGGCAAGAUUCCCCACCAGUAAAAAGAUUAUGACUUGCUGAAGGAUCAGAUCAUUGUUAGCAUUUUUUAGCAAUAAAGUACUUCUUAAAUUCAGGUAUGUACAAUGAUUUUUUGGACAUAAAAUUAAGCUAUUGCACACUUAAUAAACUACAUUAUAGUAUAAAUAUAACUUUUGUAUGUACUAGUAAACCAAAAAACUUCUGUGGCUUGUUUUGUUGCAAGAGUUUAUUUUUAUGGUGGUCUAGAACCCAACCUGCAAUAUCUCCAAGGUAUGCCUGAAUAUAGAUAUAGAUAUAUGAUACAUAUAUGUAUAUCUAUCCCAUUACAUUUCUUUAUCAAUUUACAUGUCAAUGGAGACUUAAGUUGUUUUUAUAUUUUGUGUAUUAUAAAUAAUGCUGCAAUGAAAGUUAGAGUGCAGGUAUCUCUUUGAGAUAAUAAUUUUAUUUUCUUUGGAUAUAUGCUCUCUAGUGGAAUUGCUGGAUCAUAUAUUAGCUCUAUUUUUAACUUUUUGAGAAACUUCUAUACUGUAAUCCAUAAUAAGUGUAACAAUUUGCAGUCCCAACCACCAUGUACAAAAGUUACUUUUUUUCCACAUCUUUGUCUUUAAUAUCAUUCAUUCUAACAGGAAUAAUGUGAUACUACAUUGUAGUUUUUAUUUGCAUUUUCCUGAUGAUUUAUGGAUGUAAUUUUUCUGUUUUUGGUAGUGUAGAAAUUUAGCAAUAUUAGUUCUUCUAAAUCAUGACCAUAAGAUAUGUUUCAUUUACAUGUGUCAAUGUAAAUUUCUUUUCUUAAUGUUUUAUAGUUUUUAAGAUUUAGAUCUUUCAAUUUCUUAGUUAAAUGUAUGCCUAAAUAUUUUAUUAUUUUUAUUGUUAUUGGGAAUGGAAUUGUUUUAUUAAUUUAUUUUUCAGAUAGUUUGCUGUUAAAAACAUAAUUGAUUUUGGUAUAUUUAUCUUGUAUCCUGCAACUUUACUAUUUUUUUAAAUUAGUUCUAACUGUUUUUUGCUGGAGUGUUUAGGAAUUUCUAUAGAUACCGUCAUGUUGUCUGCAAGCAGACAGAAUUUUAUGUCUUCCUUUACAAUUUGAAAGCCUUUUAAAAUUUAUUUCUUGCCUAAUUGCUCUAACUAUAGCUACAGGUGGCAUGUUGGAUGAAAAUGGUAAGAGCAGGUAUCCUUAUUUUGUCCCUGAUCAUAGAGAAAAAAAUUUCAGCUUUCGACAUGAGUAUAAUAUUAGCUGUGCAAUUGUCAAAUGUGACCUCUAUUAUGCUUAAAUACAUUCUUUUGGCACUUAAUUUGUUGAGAGUUUUUAUCAUGAAAAAAAUGUUGAAUUUUAUUAAAUAUUUUAUAUGCGUGCAUUAAAAUGAUCAUAUAAUUUGUAUACUUUAUACUACUAAUUUAAUGUAUCACACUUGCUAAUUUGUAUAUGUUGAACCAUCCUUGCAUUCAGGGGCAAAUAUUAAUUUUGAUGAAUGAUUUUUUAAAUAUGCUUUUAAAUUUGGUUUGCAGUAUUUUGUUGAGUUUUGUUGAAUUUAUGUUCAUCAGGGCUAAUAACAUGUAAUUUUUAUGUAAUAUACUUGUCUGGCUUUGAUAUUAGGGUAAUACUGGCCUUAUAAAAUUAAUUUAGAAGUGUUCUUUCGUCUUCACUAAUUUGGAAGAGUUUAAAAAGUUUUGGAUUAAAUGUUUGAUUGAAUUCAGCAGCUAAGCCAUGUGAUUAUGGCUUUUUCUAUUAUAGCAAACUGUUUCUGAUUCAAUCUCUUAACUAGUUUUUGGUCUGUUCAGAUUUUCUGUUUCUUCAUAAUUCAGUCAAGGUAAGUUGUUUGUUUCUGGAUAUUUGUCUGAUUAAGUUAGAUAACUUUUUGGGGUAUAACUGUUCAUAGAAAUCUCUUAUGAUCCUUUGUAUUUCUGUGGUUUUUGUUGUAAUGUCACCUCCUCAUUUCUGAUUACCUUUAUCUUCUUUUUUUUCCUGUACUAGCUAAAAACUGGUGAUUUUGUUCAUCUUUUCAAAAAACAGCUCUUAGUUUUAUUGACCUUUUCUGUUGUUAUUCUAGUUUCUAAUUCCUUUUCUUCCUGCUCUGAUCACUAUCUCCUUCUACUGAUUUUGGUCUUAGUUUGCUCUUUUUCUACUUUUUUCAGGUGUAACAUUAGGCCAUUUAUUUUAGUUUUUUUUCCUUUAUGUAGUUGUUUACUGCUAUAAACUUUUCUGUUAUAAAUUAUUUUGCUGAAACCCAAAAGGUUUGAUAUGUUUUCAUUUUCAUUUGUCUCAAAAUAUUUUUUAUUUCUUCUUUUAUUUCUUCUUUAAUGCAUUGACCAUCCAAGAGUGUUCUUUUUAAUUUCCAUGUUUGUGAAUUUUCCAAAUUUAUUCUUAUUACGAUUUAUAAUUACAUAUCAUGGUGAUAAAAAAGAUGCUUCACAUAAUUUCUUACUUCUUAAAUUUGUUAAGACUUAUAGCCCAAAACAAGAUACAUCUUGGAGAAUGUUCUUUUGUGCUUGAGAGGAGUAUGUAUUCUGCUAUUGUUUGAUGGUAUUCUUUGUAUGUCUUUUAGUUCCAUUUAUUCUACAAUAUUGCUUAAGUCCACUGUUUUCUUAUUCAUUUUCUGCCUGGAUGAUCUAUUUAUUGUUGAAAUGUCCUCUGCGAUUAGUGUUUGUUGUUUAUUUUUCCCUUCAAUUUUGUUAAUAUUUGCUUUAUAUAUUGAGGUGCUUCAAUGUUGGGUUCAUAUGUAUUUAUAGUUGUUAUGUUCUCUUAACGAAUUGACCCCUUUAUCAUUAUAUAAUAAUCUUAUUGUCUCACAUGACUUUUUUUAACAUAAAGAUUAUUUUGUCUGAUGUAAGUAUAGACACUCCUGCUCUUUUUUGGUGACAAUUUGCUUGAGGUAUGUUUUUUCUGUCCUUUCAUUUUUGACCUAUGUAUGUCCUUAAAGAUAUAGUGAGUCUCUUAUAGGCAAAUGUAUAGUUGGAUCUUAUUUUUGUUUUGUUUUUGUUAUCCAUUCAGCCAUUCUAAGUCUUUUGGAGAAUUUAAUCAAUUUACAUUUAAAGCAAUUUUUGAAAGGUAAGAACUCACUAUUGCAAUUUUGUUAAUUAUUUUCUAUUUUGCAAUUUCUCUCUUCCUUUCUUCCUUUUUUUACUAUCUUCCUUUGUGUUUUGAUAAUUUCUGGUAAUGUUAUGCUUUGAUUUAUUUCUCUCUGUAUCUUUUGUGUAUCCACUACAGGUUUUGUCUUUGUGAUUACUGGGAGGCUUAUGUAAAAUAUUUUGUAGUUAUAGCAGUCUACUUUAAAUGAAUAAAAAAUUAGCCUUGAUAGCAAAGAAAUAUUAUACUUUUAUUCCCUCCUUACAUGUUAUUAUUAAUGUAACAAAUUACAUAUUUUUACAUUGUGUAACUAUUUACAAAUUAUUGUACUGUAGGUAUUUGUAAUACUUUUGUCUUUUAACUUUUGUAUUAAAGUGAAAGUUAUUUAUUCACCACCAUUUCAGUAUUAGAACAUUCUGGACUCUAAUCUUUAUAGGAUUAGACUAUAUAAUUACCUUUACCUGUGAAUUUUAUACCUUCAUACUUUUUCAUGUUUCUAACUAGUGUCCUAUCAUUUCUUUUUUAUUUCCAUUUUUAUUUUUUAUUAUUAUACUUUAAGUUCUAGGGUACAUGUGCACAACGUGCAUGUGUCCUAUCAUUUCUUUUUUUUUUUUUUUUUUCUAGACGUAGUCUCGCUCUGUCCCCCAGGCUGGAGCGCAGUGGCACGAUCUCGGCUCACUACAAGCUCCGCCUCCCGGGUUCCCGCCAAUCUCCUGCCUCAGCCUGCCGAGUAGAGUAGCUGGGACUACAGGCGCCCGCCACGACGUCCGGCUAAUUUUUUGUAUUUUUAGUAGAGACGAGGUUUCACCGUGUUAGCCAGGAUGGUCUCCAUCUCCUGACCUCGUGAUCCACCGGCCUCGGCCUCCCAAAGUGCUGGGAUUACAGACGUGAGCCACUGCGCCCGGCUGUGUCCUAUCAUUUCAACUUGGUGAGUUAACCUUAGCAUUUCUUGCAAGGCAGAUGUACAAAUUAUGAACUGUCUUAGGUUUUGUUUAUUUGUGGAAGUCUUUAUCUCUCAUUCAUUUUUAAAGGACAGUUUUUGCUGGGAAGAGUAUUCUUUGGUGACAACUUUUUCUUUCAGCACUUUACAUUUAUCUACCCUUUCUCCGCUGGAUGGAGUUUUCUGCUGAAAAGUCUGCUGAUAGUUCUGAAGAAGUUUCCAUUCAUGUAAUGAGACACGUUUCUCUGGCUGCUUUCAUAAUUCUCUUUGGCUUUCACUUUUGACAAUUUAAUUAUAAUGUAUCUCAGUGAAAACUUAAUGUUCAGCCUAUAUGGAGUUUUUUGGGCCUCAUGGAUCUGGAUGUUCAAUUUUCUUCCUAGUUUUAGGAGUUUUUCUGUCAUUAUUUUUUAAAAUAAACUUUCUUUCCUUUGUCUAUCUACUCCUUCUGAAUAUUUUAUAUGUGUAUAUUGGUUUAUGUUGUGUGCCAUAAGUCAGGUAGGCUUUCUUCACUCUUUUUCAUUUGUUUCUUUGUCUUUUUUGUUCCUCUAACUUUAUAAUUUUAAAUGCCCUGUCUUCAAAUUUGUGUUUUUUUCCUUCUGCGUAAUCAGCUAUACUGUUGAAACUCUGUAAUGAAUUUUUAAUUUCAGUUAUUGUGUACUUGUUUCUGGAUUCCUGUUUUAAAAUAAAUUCUAUUUUUAAUUGAACUUCUUAUUUUGUUCAUGUAUUGUUUUCCCAGUUUUGUUUAGUUUUCUGUGUUCUUUUGUAGUUUGUUGAGUCUCUGUAAAAUGAACAUUUUGAAUUUUUUGCCAAGCACUUUAUGAAUCUUCAUUUCUUUCACUUACUUACUGGAGCUUUUUUAUUUCCUUUACCGAUGUUAUAUUUGCCUCAUUCUUUAUAAUCUAUGUAGCUUUUCCUUAGCAUCUAUGUUUGAAGGGAAAGACUCUUCUUCCAGUCUUGAUAGACUUAUUUCUGCAGGUAAAGACUUCGCCUGGCUGAUGGAGAUCACAGUUAAGUGGGAAUGAAAACAGGUUCUGUGUCCAUGCCAAGUCUACAGUUGGGUUAAUAGUUGGCAAGUCUGCUACCAGGGCCACAUAUGGUUGUGGCUUCCACCAGGCCUAUGAGCAGUACUGCCUCCAGACCAAGGGAAAGCUGGACUGGAGUUGGGUCAUGGAACUGCUUUAAAGACCAUAGUUGGGUCCAAGGUCUGCAGGUCCUAUUACUAGGAGCACACACAGGUGUGGCUCCCAAGUCCUUUGGUGGAAGUGGCUGAAGGCAGCAGUGUGUGGACUUACUUCUCAAAGAGGCACUCCUUGGCCUUGGAUCUAACAAUUGUUUUAUAACCAGCUAUUUGGAUCCCAAGACUCUCACAAAGUCAAAUUUGUCUGUUUAUGCCACCAAAUAUUUGUUUCUCUGGGACGACACAGGCUUGGGACCCCCUCUUCUGCCAUCCUGCUGAUGGCAUUCUCAUUACUUUUUUAAAAAAUUUGUAUUCUACUGAACUUAUGUUUACUUUUUGUAACCCGCAUUAAAAAAAUUUAUUGCAUUCCUUACCCUAUUGCAUUAUUUUCUAUGUAUAUUUGUAAGAGAUCAUUUGAUUUCCUGACCCAUCUUCUGUGAAAAGAACUAUAUUUAAAUAUAUAAUAAUCCAUAAACUUUGCACAAUUUUUAAUUACUUGAAAAUUAAUCAACUUUCCUUCAUAAGUUGAUAAUAUGGUUAUGAAUUGUCUGAGUGCUAUUGUACAGGAGAUGUGGCAGAUUUCAAUACUGUUGAAAUAUUCACUGCCCCUUCUCAGCCAAUUAUAAUUUCCUGCUCCAAGAUCUCAAACUUUGCCAUGCAACUUGUUUUAUUCUAUAAAAUGUGAAUAAAAGUAACUUGUUCCA